GCCCGCCUAGCUCAAUCGGAUAGAGCGUCAGACUCUUAGGCGGUGUCAUUUCAUUCAUUAGGAAUCUGAAGGCUGCGAGUUCGACCCUCGCGGUGGGCU
rnacentral:tRNA from 1 species